rnacentral:piRNA from 1 species
UGGUGACAAAUGUCCAGUGGCAUUCUCCA